GGUCCGUUCGUAUAGUGGUUAGUAUAGUGGAUUUUGAUGAUGACGCAAAAUUCCAUUGACCCCGGUUCGAACCCGGGACGGACCU
rnacentral:tRNA from 1 species